rnacentral:rRNA from 1 species
AUUGAACGCUGGCGGCAGGCCUAACACAUGCAAGUCGAACGGUAGCACAGAGAGCUUGCUCUCGGGUGACGAGUGGCGGACGGGUGAGUAAUGUCUGAGAAACUGCCCGAUGGAGGGGGAUAACUACUGGAAACGGUAGCUAAUACCGCAUAACGUCGCAAGACCAAAGUGGGGGACCUUCGGGCCUCACACCAUCGGAGGUGCCCAGAUGGGAUUAGCUAGUAGGUGGGGUAAUGGCUCACCUAGGCGACGAUCCCUAGCUGGUCUGAGAGGAUGACCAGCCACACAGGAACUGAGACACGGUCCAGACUCCUACGGGAGGCAGCAGUGGGGAAUAUUGCACAAUGGGCGCAAGCCUGAUGCAGCCAUGCCGCGUGUAUGAAGAAGGCCUUCGGGUUGUAAAGUACUUUCAGCGGGGAGGAAGGCGGUGAAGUUAAUAGCUUCACCGAUUGACGUUACCCGCAGAAGAAGCACCGGCUAACUCCGUGCCAGCCGCCGCCGUAA